UGAGGUAGUAAGCAGACCAAUGCUGCACAAAGUGACUGGUUCAGGUCCCAGUGUGUUAGUGGGAGCUGGGUGGGGGUGGACUGAGGUUCAGAGUUCAGUGGUGCAUGGGGAAAAAGAGGGGAGGGGGGCAAGGUCGGGAGGGAGUUCAGCUUCCUGACAGCCUGAUGGAUGAAGCUGUCCUUCAGUCUGCUGGUUCUGGCCUGGAAACUCCGCACUCUCCCCCCCCCGAUGGCAGCAGACUGAAGAAGCUGUGUGACGGGUGGGUGGGAUGAGAUGGGUUCCAUAAAUGUCCUGGAGGGAGGGGAGAGAGACACCAACGAUCAUCUCAGCUGCUCUCACUACGCGUUAAAGAGUCUUCUGGCAGGACACGUUGCAGGCGCCAUACCACACAGUGAUGCAGCUAGUCAGGAUGCUCUCGAUGGUGCUUCUGUAGAAGGUGCACAUGAUGGGGGCCACCACAGUCAUGUCAUCUGCCAUCUUAAUAAAGAGGUUGCAGUUGUGUGACGCUGUGCAGUCGUGGGUCAGCAGAGUGAAGAGGAGGGGGCUCAGCGCACAUCCUUGGGGGACUCCAGUGUUCAGUGUGAUGGUGCUGGAUGUGUUGCUGCCGACCCGUACUGCCUGAGGUCAGAAAGUCAGAAAGUCUAACAGCCAGUUGCACAGCAAAGUGUACUUGCAACACCUGACUGAAGAAGCAUAGUUUCUUGUUAGCAAGGAAUAUGGCCUUAAAUAAAUAUGCUCUUUGGCACAAUAACCAAGCUAACAUGCAGUGUUAUGGAGGCCCAGGAUGCUUCGAUAGCGGCCUUAAGCUCAUCCAGAGUGUUGGGUCUUGCGUCUCUCAACUUUCUCUUCACAAUAUCCCACAGAUUCUCUAUGGGGUUCAGGUCAGGAGAGUUGGCAGGCCAAUUGAGCACAGUAAUACCAUGGUCAGUAAACCAUUUACCAGUGGUUUUGGCACUGUGAGCAGGUGCCAGGUCGUGCUGAAAAACGAAAUCUUCAUCUCCAUAAAGCUUUUCAGCAGAUGGAAGCAUGAAGUGCUCCAAAAUCUCCUGAUAGCUAGCUGC
ensembl:lncRNA